rnacentral:rRNA from 1 species
GAUGAACGCUAGCGGCAGGCCUAACACAUGCAAGUCGAGGGAGAGGUUACCUUCGGGUAACCAAAACCGGCGCACGGGUGCGUAACGCGUAUACAAUCUGCCUUUCACAUAGGGAUAGCCCGAAGAAAUUUGGAUUAAUACCUAAUGGUAUAUAAGAGCGGCAUCGUUUUUAUAUUAAAGCUACGGUGGUGAAAGAUGAGUAUGCGUUCUAUUAGCUAGUUGGAGAGGUAACGGCUCCCCAAGGCGACGAUAGAUAGGGGUUCUGAGAGGGAUGUCCCCCACACUGGUACUGAGAUACGGACCAGACUCCUACGGGAGGCAGCAGUGAGGAAUAUUGGACAAUGGUCGGAAGACUGAUCCAGCCAUGCCGCGUGCAGGAUGAAGGUCCUAUGGAUUGUAAACUGCUUUUGUAAGGGAAGAAUAAGGGGUACG